CUGCUCCUCUGAUGCUGCUUGGCCUGCUGUGUUCAUCCAGCUCCACACCUUGUUAUCUUACAUCAUAUCUAAUUACUCAUAGGCCUCUCUGAAUCCCAACUUGAAACAGGACAGGUGCUUUUUCCGCACUGGCAGCUUAGUCCCAUCAGUGUUUCAGGCUCAUGGCUCUCACUGGGUGACUGGGUUGGGGACUCAUUUGUUGACACUGGGCAAGUGGCUACUGAACACCAUGACCCCUGUGGCUUCUGGCUUGGGAGUUCUCACAUUUCACCUCCUUUGGCUCUUUUUGUUCUUGGUUUGUACCCGGUGAUACUGUUUUUUUACUGUCCUCAGGAAAACUCCAGAAGCCAACAAAUGGAUGAUUUGUUUGACAUCCUCAUUGAAAGUGGAGAAAUUUCACUCAAUGCCAAGGACGUCUCCACAUCUUUAAACACGCCGUCUCCACAGAACGUUUCGCCCACGCUUGCUGUCUCUCCACCCCCAGUGGUAAAAGCACAGCUACCGUCACCUCAGUUGCUGCUGGAACCCAUCAACGAAAGUCAGUCCAUCGAUCGCGAGAGCCAGCUCGAGGACUUCCUUGUGAGCACCACCGGUGUGCCGCUGUUAUCGGUGGAUAAUGAUGGGACGGAACCCCUCUCCCUCAUCGAUGACCUACACAACCAAAUGCUGAGCAGCUCCAGUAUUCUCGAGCAUCCUCAUUCACCCAUGGACACUUCGGAUAUGCACUUCACUGCAGACAGCACCAGUCUGGCUCUGGACCUCACUGACACUAACUUGGACAACAUGGAGUGGCUGGACCUGACUAUGGGCAGCACCUCUGUGGGUCUUGCUCCUUUGAGCUCCGCAACCCCCAGUGUCUUUUCUACUGACUUUCUAGACAGCCAAGACCUGCAGCUACACUGGGAUUAACAUCAAGCAGCCAAAACAUUGAGGGUGAGCGUUUGCAAAAAUCCCCUGGUCAAUGUGGACCUUCGGUGCACGGAACCUGAUGAGGUUCAUUUCAGUGUGCGCUUUUCGCUGUCACUUUACUUGACCGGGAGAUACAUGUGCGCUGGGAAUGCAGGACCCUUGGCGAAACAUCCAGAGGAUUUUUCUCUGUUCCAAAGUCGCAGGCAAGAAUGGGCUGGAGCUCCUGACUCAACUCUGGGCCCAACCACCACUGCUGGGAAUCUACAACUGGAUGAGAUUCCCAACUUGAAGAUGAACCUGCUCGCUGACUGACCUGGGCAGCGUGGGUUUCUUUGAUGUUCAUGAGGCUUCAGAGCCUGGUCCUCAUGAAGCAGGAUCACACUCUCAGCACCCACCCAUUAUUUGAUUUCUACGUUGCCAAGGUUGUCUUUUUGCACUGACUGGGGAGGGUGGGAAUGUUUUUAAAAGGAAAAAAAAAUAAAUUAAAACCAAAACCCAAGGGUACACUAACUGAGCAGGCAUCAAAAUUAACUGACCCCUCCCCGCUCCCUUCCAUCCCAACCACAACCUGUUCAGGACAAGUCUGAAGGUUGUUGCCUGCAUCUGGGACAGAUACCUUGGUCCUCCACACAUUCUCUUUAACUUCGCAAAACAAGACCUGUGUUUGAGUGGCCCAGAUGUAACUGCAGUAUCACGACUUGUAAAGAAAUAGUUCCCUUCGUGUUCAGGAGCCUAGCAUUAUCUGUUUUAUUCUGAGGCGGGAGGUGGAAUUCAUCCCUGGGAGCAGCUCCUCACUAUCAUUGUGCCAUUCAUUCUUGAGUCGAACUUUGAACUGUUUCAUUGGAUUUAGGUGCUUGAGCUCUUGUGCACACCCCGACAUCAGCUACAGGUUCCCUAUCAGUUUCUAAAAUGCAGAGUCCAAAAUACAAAAUGAAACAAGUUAGGAUGCAUCCUGUUUGUUGAUUGUGAAACAUUGACCUACUGACGAUCGAAUCCACCAAGUCCCUGAGUUGUGCAAAGGAGGUGGCAUGAGCCUGCUCUCCUAGUUUUUGCAGUGUUGAUGACAAAUCAACCCUCCAGGCCAGGGUGCCACUCGAAUGCACCGUCCAUUGCAGACAGGGCAUGACCAAUAAAUAACUGUCCACUGCCAAACUGGGCUCUUGGAGCCGGGUGCCCGUUCUCUGGGUCUUGUGGUUGCAGAGUUAGGGAGGAGCAAAGGUUGUCUGCACAGAUUUCAUUCCCUCAUUGACUGAAGUGCUGCCUGUGUGGGAAGUUCCUCUAUCACCUGCUCCCCUUGCCUUUCAACGUGGACGGGAUUUUGGCCAGGGGGUUAAAUGUUGAACAGGGCAAUCGUUUGAAUGUUAUUGUCACCUCAGUGUCGUAUUUCUCACAAGUGAAAGAUUACUGCAGCAGGAAGAUUCUUGUAUCUUGCCAGCUCAUACAAGGAUUUCUUUUACAACUGUAAAGUUACAAUCAUCUAGAAUGUAAAACAAUUGUACAAUGUCAAAUGUGCAAUUUAAUCAUAUCUGUGUAUAGGUCGCAUCGCUGACUAACGUAGCACUGGUGUAAAAGCCUUAUUUGUCACUUCAAGCCUUGGUUGUGAGCAUCAAACGGUACAAUCUUGUCAGCUGCACAUGAAACAUUUGCUUGCAAGCUCAUGGCCAAGCUAAUGCAUUUCCCUUUCUCACCAGUUGUUUCUCCUGGCUGAGAAUGGAUAGCAUUAGGUUUGGGCCUGGAGAAGUGUUUAGAAGUAUGUCUUCUGGACAUGGGCACUAAGCUGAAGGAGAUUGAUAGAACAAGAGCCUUUGGAGAGUUGGAGAUGAUGACGGAGAGAUGAAAAUUGAUUGUGUGAAAUGGAAAUGGCCUUGAAUGCCUGGUUUUUAAGUCUAGUUAGAUCAAUCAUUGCUGUCCACAUUGCUGUGAUUUUUUAAAAAUAGUACACACCCACUCAUUCUCACUGCAGGCCUUGUGGUCAUAAACAAUAUUACAAACUAGCGGCCGACAUAAUCAUUGCAAUAGCCAAAGUUGAAGUUACUGUGGUCAUUUAUGUAGCCUGAGGAAAAGUGAUUGGGUGUUGCUGUUUUGGUCACCAGUAUUUUUUUAUUUUCCUCAUCAGUUCCCUCGUGCACUGACUGCAUUGGCAAGCCUCUUGCCUUGGCUGGGUUGUUGUUUUGUGGUAGUGGUUGACGGAAGGAACAGUUGUACUGUUCAAGGCUCCUCUUGCUUUGCUGAAUGCAAGAGGAAUUCUGUCUGAAAUAGGACGAAUUUAGGCAACGAUCAUUGUGAGGUGGGAUGUCGUGUUGACAAUUUCAGUUAUUCAUACAAACUGAGACACAGAGGAUCUUUUUCUAAAUGUUGUUAGUGUGUCAAUUGGAGCAGGAGGAAUUUGAGUUACUGUUGAAAGUUCCUAAUGUCACCCGUAUCUAAAACCUUCAUAAUGUCGGGAAUGAUUCUUGCACUGAAAGGUGCAAUACACCAGUAAUUAGGGCUAAGUGUUGAAUUCUCAACAUGCCCUGAACAAGAGCUCAGUUGUUAUGGUGCACUACAUAGUAUUUUCUCAUCAAAUUUCUUGUGCACACUAUUGGAAAGAAUUUAGUGCUGCAAAGGCCGCUUCUCGAAGACUGAAGGUUUUCAACCUCUUUGCCUGAAAAAUCCUUGUUUCUGAUCUACGCAAGGCAAAAGACAUUUUUAAUAUCAAGACGCUUUGAGUCAUUUUUAUCACAAUGCUUUCCCCUUGGUUACUUGGCCAUUGGCGUCAAUAAUGUCCACAGAAACAAAUAAUCUUCACGAUGUUCUGUGGCAGUAGGAACCCUUGGGAAUGCAGUGCUCUGAGCCGUUAGGGAAUAAUGGAGGGUCGAGAGUUCCAAUCUACCUUGCUGCUACCUGAUAUCCCUCGCCCACAGCCAAAUCCUCCCAUGAGCCAAAGAAUCUCCAACCCAUCCCACACCAAGUAAUGAAUGCAAAUUACUGCAGAUGCUGGAAAUCUGAAAUACAAGCAGAAAGUGCUGGUGAAACUCAGCAGAUCUGGCAGCUUCUCUGAAGACAGAAACAGAAUUAACAUUUUGAGUCAGUUAUGACACUUCAGUUCUGAAGAAUAAUCAAAUUCAUCUUGAAACGGUAACUGUGUUUCUCUCUCCACAGAUGCUGGAUAUUGCUCCCUGUGCUAAUUCAAUGAUAGCAAUCCUAUUAAUGUUUUGUGAUUGUUGGGUAUUGGUAGUCCAUUGAUUUUAAAUGUUGAAUUCUAUUAAUGCCCAUUAAUCCAGUCAGGUACCCAGAAGUAAUACGAAGCAAAAUUGUAUUGAUUCAGUUGUCCAAUCAUGAUCUGCAACCUUUAGUGGUACCAAUCAAAAUUACAGCAACUCCGUACCAGGUGCUGAAUGUUUUUAAAUUUUGAAGUGUUUGGAGUUCAUGGAAAACAUGCAAUAUUUGCUGCUUUCACUGGCAUGCUCUACAACCAUAAAUCUGAUAUAGAUUUUGUGAAGUUUUUCAUUGGGAAGCAGGGACUUGUUAUUAUCACUGGGUGUUUUUUAGCUGCCUGAGGAACAAACAAAAAAGUCAUGUUGCAAUCUGAGACAAUCCAAGCCCAGAGCCAUUGCAUGACGGUAAAGCUGUCCCUGAUAGUCUAGUUGGCUGUUGAUUCCUGGUCCAGGAUUUAAAUGAAACACGAACAGGAGUGAAGCUCUGUGUUGAUUCUGAAGGCCUUUGGAAUGGGUAAGCCCUGGUCAAGUGGUAUUGGCUCUGAACAUGAAGCAGAAGGCACUCAUUGUGUUCCCCACGGUAGUGUGGGGAAUAUUGGUGCUUUCCUCCUGUUUUAUGUCCUGCCCAUUAGCCUAAGGAAGACGCUAUAUAGAUAUGCAGGAUGGGGGUAUACUAAUUUAGAUACAUUUUACACUCUCCUUACGUAUGUCUUUCUGCUUCCAUUCUCUCCACCCAUUCCCAACCAUGUGUUCAUGCAUCCCUAAUUCCUGUCUGUGACUUCAUGCUUACACUGCUGUGAAUUUGAAUGUGAAAUGCAGUUGUGUUGCAGAGUUAGAAUGCCAGUGUGCAUUCUUGUGCAAACCUGAUUUUCUUCUCUGCAUCUUUGGCUGUGCCUUUACCUACCUGGAUCCAGACUUCUGGACUCUCUCCCUAAAAUUUCUUCUUGUCCUCCCUCCUUUUGAGGCAGUCUUUAAAACCUACUUCUUUGGCCAAACUUUUUCUGUUGUCGUAAUAUCUCUUUCAUGUUGGUCAGUAUCUUUGCAAACUGUUCCUGCAAAGCACCUUGUGAUAUUUUGCCUGUCCAGUGAUGUCAACAAUAGGGUUCUUACCCUUUAUUGCUAGUGCGUUAAAGGUUAAGCUAAGGUCUUGUGACACAGUUGUAGUGCUCCUGCCUCUGGGCCAGGAGGUCCCAGUUCAAGUCCCAACUGCUCCAUGGGUACGCACUGCAGAAUUUCACUAAGGCUCCUCGGACAGCACCUUCCAAACUCACGAUCAUUUCCAUCUCAAAGGAUAAGAGUAGCUGAUACCGCUAUCUUCUGUAAGUUUUCCCCAAAGCGCCUCACCAUUCCGACUUGGAAGUAUACUGCAGUCCUUUCACUGUCACUAGGUCAAACUCCUGUCUGUCUUCACUAACUGAGCUGUAGCAGUACAUGAAGGCAACUCACCACCACUUUCACCAAGAUAAUUAGGAAUGGGCAAUAAAUGCCAGCAAAGCCCACACCCCCUCAUUUUAAAAAAUAACUGACCUCUGAAAUGGCCAGGCCAAAAAUUAAGUUCAAGAGCAAUUAGGGAACGGGCAACACGCGCUUUCCAGUGCGUUCAACAUCCUGUGAAAGAACUGAAGCCAUGCAUAGACCCAUUGGACAUCAGUCUGUAGAUCCCAAUUCCACACUGCACCCCGAGAGACACAGGAGAAUGUGGACAGUGAGGAGACAUUGUGCAUCCUCAUCGAGUCCAAUGUUCUCAAAUCUGUCACAGAGGUGGAAUGUAAAUCCAGAGAGAUGAUAGCUUAUCUCUAAAGCCUUGAAAAUAUGUUUUGUACGUUUAUUUGAUCAUGGUCUAAGAAUUGACAUAGAUUAGAUUAACUAAGUAAAAUUAUGGUGGAGCUAGGCACUUCUUAAUUAUUCACAGUUUAACAUAUUUGUUAUUGACUGCCUGUUCAGGGGUUGAUUUUGUGACAUGGUAUUGAUCAGUUGAAGUAUUAUUGAUUUGCUGUGCUCACCUGCCUACAUUAGCACAGGCACUGUCCAGAGGAGCUACUGAAAUAUUAACACUUCCAUGUGCCCUUAGAGUUGCUGGUGAGUGGUCCAGCUAUAAUCACACUCUGGGUGUGUUUCCUCUCAAAGCAGCAGCGGUAGAAAAGGCAGAAUCAGUGGAAUUUGGACUGGGGAGGUGUAAAUCGCCUCGAGGCGUUUCCAGGCAGUUAAUCUACAAAAAUGCUAAAAGAGUACAGUAUGGAUCUACUUGAGCAAUGGGCUCUGACGCCCACAGUGCUCUUGUCGGUAAAUGCACCAGAAUUAAUCCAGAUCAGGACAGUAUCCGGUUUAGUCCCAGGCUUCUGAAUAGAUAGUUGAUGCUACAUUGGCCUUUACAUGGGAUUGGUGGGGGUGGGAGUAGCGACUGAAUGUUGACUGUUUUCAAAGCAUAUCACGGAUUUAUUUUCACACAGUUUGAUAGGUAGUUUUUCAGGUAAUGGUUGAUAUUCUCAAAUGGGCCUCCUUGGAUUCCAAAGGCAGUCCCAGGCUGGGUGUAUUGAUUGAAAGGGACACUGAAGUGCCUGUUCUCAGUGCUUGUAGCAAAUAACUUGCCUUUCAGUACACCGUACCAUAAUUCUACAUAGGAACCUGUUUUUUCUGGAAAUUUCCAUGUGGCUAAUCACUAGCAGUUAAAAUGGGAUUAUAGUAAACAGUCCUUCAUGGUUACUUGCAGGAAAUACAUGGUUUAAUGUCUCAUGGAGGGCACCUUGUUAGAGUAGAAUAGCCUAGUUACAUGGUGUGCCUAAGGUUCUCUGACUGAAAUUUGUGCUUAGAUAAUCAUAGUGUCAUUGUAAACUGAGCUGCACACCAAUGUGUGUACAUGUCCAAUCCUUGCACUCUGUACCCACUCAGCUGAUCAGUGACUGAUUAAUCUCCCUUCAGUUUUCUAUGCCGUGUUAGUUUGGGUUUUUAGACAAAUUAUAAGCUGUUGACGGAGUAAGUGACUGGCACCUUCACUGUGCCCCUGCAGGGUAUACGUUCAGAAUGAACUUGUGUAGCAAUCCUGCUCUCAGUCUCUGUGGAGAGAGGUGGGAAACAAAAAAUCUACCAGGGAAUGUGUUCUCCAACCCACCAUGGCAGAGAAAUGACAAUAGUGGCAAGAGAGGCUACAGCAUCCUGUGGUUGGGUAACUAAUGGGGAGGAUGGAGUUGGGAAGAAAUCGGAACACCUGCAUUGAGGAGGCAGUGGGGAUUACAGGCCACAGGAAUCUGCUGGUCAAGUCUAGGAUCCGGUGGGAAGUGUUUUUUGUUCUGUUCAUGUUUUGCCUUUUCAUUUACUUUGCACUCUCUUCAUCGAACUCCCUUCCUUUGUAGUUACGUGUUGUAUGUUUGUGGGGUUUUUUUGCUGGGGGGUGGUGGGGUGCGGGUGGGGUAUGGAGCUGAGCAGUGGACAUUUGCCUGGAUAAUGAGCCCAAGUUGUCUACAACCUCCCAAAGUACUGCAGAACCGCACCAAACUUUGGCAUAUCUUUUUGGGUUACAGGAUCCCCCUGGAGUCCUGCCUCUGGAGAGUUGGCAGACACUUGCUCCGAGCGCCCAAUGCCCAGUGGUUUGAUGUCUGAGUGUGCCAUCUUGAUCAUUAAGGGCUCAAGAUUGACACUUGCUACAAAGUUAAGCUCAGCUCUGCCUAACUGUAAUGGAUCUCGGUGUUGGCACGGGUAGGAUCUGUCACAGAUUCUGCUCCUUUAUGGCUGUGUUGGCCAUUUCGUGGGAAGUGAAACCAUCCAUUGCAGGAUUGGCUUGAAUUGUUGAUACAGUCAGACAGUAUGCUGGCACCCACAGCUCACCCUCUGGGAUAUGAAGACCCAGGGCUGAUGGUAGCUGACCCGAGUGAGAGCCAACAUUCAGCACUGUAGCAAGGCAAAUGGGAGACCAUUGAGUGCUCCUUGUUUAUUUCAAUGCCAUGAUGUAAAGCCUCGCCCUUAUGAUAGAAUGUUGCUGGAUGAUGUGUAGGUGACUUUGCAGAGCCAUACCUACCAGCCAAUGUGUCCAAUGUUAAUCUGUGUCUACUAUGAGUUCCGCUAAUAUUGCUGCGACUUUGUUUAAAAAAAAUUCUAGGGUAGUGAAAAAUGUCGGUGCCUGAGUGAUAAUCAGUCCGUUGCUGUACGUGAGCACUUUGCGAAAAAUUCAGAAUUCUGAACUGAAGCGGUAACCAAUCACUUUCCCGUACAGGAGCGGAGGCCCUCACAUUAGACUGGUGUGCCAGAACUUUGUACAAAUUCUUUCCCCUUUUAAUGCCACUGUGAAUGUGUAUAUUCCAACUCUGAGGUGUAAACAUUUAUUGGGAACCAUUUGGAGGAAUGUAUUUGGAUUUUCCUUCCUUUUCAAAUUGUAGUGACUGUAUCCUCGUGAUCAGCCAUUGACAAGGAAAUGGAAGGGGGUGCAGAGAGAGAAAGCAGACGUAAUGAAUGAAUUUUACUGCUUGCUUUUCUCUUUAUCUUAUCUUUUUUAACUGUCUGUAAACACUGUUUUGUGUUGAACUUUUUAAAAAACCUUUUUUAAAGAAACAUCGUGUUUGUGUUAUUCAGACUUCCUCUGAUUUAAUUACAAUCUUCAGUGUUGUAAAGUUGUUAACUGUCCCCAUCCGCUUUUAUUUAAAGGUUUAAUGGGGGUGUGCUGCUUUUGGCAGGUGGAGCAGAUCAGUUCGGUUCUGUGCCAGGGGAGAGUGGAUUUGAUCAUGUCAUUCCACUGGGUUAGAGAGAAGGGAAGGGAAAUAACAACCAGUCAACUUCCAAUACGUAGUCACCAUCCUGUGUGUGUAUUAAAAUCACUGAACCUUGGCUCAGUGUUUGUUUCUGAAUGAGAUGGCUGUGAUAUUUCUCACAAUGUAGGUCAAUGACCCAGUGCACUCUCGGAGGAGUUGUCUCUUGCAUGAGACAUUAAAUGAUCUGAAUCCCCUCUGGUAGAGGUGCUGUUUAUGGAGCAGGCCAUUCUGUUGUCCUGGUGAUUCUACAUCUCUGCUCGAAGCUCAAUUGAGUGUCUGCAAUGGAGAAUUGACUGUCUGUUCAUCUGUCCAACCCUUUUUUUCUCUCUCUCUCCCUCCCUCCCUCUCUCUCUCUCUCUUGCCAAAUAAUUGGGGACCGCUUACUGUCAGUGAGUUUCACCUCCCUAGCAGACAGAUACAUGUGGUGUUUAUAUUGGCAUGAGUCACUUACCCCUUGCUCUCUUCCCUUCUCUCACCUACGCAUGUCAAACCUUCCCUUUACAGGAUCCCUUAUCUCCUUCAGUCACUCGUGUGGCAGAGUUCCAUAUGUUUUCCACAGUCAAAUUCCUGCUAAAUUCUUCGAUCAUCUUGCUGCCUGCUCUACUCUCUCCCACGUGCAGAUCAAUUGCGUUAAAUGUUUGAUGUACUUGUCUUACUCUGCCCCGUUUAAUUUCUUAGAUUCCAAGAAAUGAAUGGCCUCUUUUUUUGUAUUUCCAACCAUAGUGAUCCACUUUGUUCUAUUGAAUUUAAUGUUUACCUAUCUUCCUUCAUUCUGUCACAGUGCUCCAGAUUAUGCUCUAUAACCUGCCCUAUCACCCUUGCCCCCAAGGUUCUGAAACUGUUACGUUAUUGUGAGUAUUAUUGAGACAAUGGGCCAGUAAUGCCGCACUGGACUAGCGAUCCAGAGAUUUGUGCAAAUACUCUGAGGACCCAGGUUCAAAUCCAACCAUGACAGCUGGUAGAAUAUCAGUUCAAUUCAUUUUUAAAAAUCUGGAAUUGAAAACUAGUCUGAGUCUUGCUCACCAUGAGUCUCUCGUCUCUUGUAAAAAAAAAAAUCAAUCUGUUUCACCAAUGUCCUUUACGAAAUCUGCUAUCCUUACUUGUUCUAGCCUACAUGUGACUCCAGACCCAUAGCAAUACUGCUGACUCCUAACUGUCCUCUGAAAUGGCCCAGCAAAACCACUGGGUUCAAGGGCAUUGGGGGUUGGCAAUAAAUACUGGCCUUGCCAAUGACCCCUACAUCAAUGACACAUGCUAAUUUCAGCAGCGCUGCACGUCACAGUUAAUGUAUCUACACUCUGGUGCAUUGUGAACAAAUGCCUUUAACAGUGAGGACUUGGAGCAUCCUGUGGAUCAGAGCCCAGUAAGGAGUCAGCUUUGAGUCAAAAGGAGAAAUUUUAAGGGGAGAGAGAAGUUUUUUUGAAUGUAGGUAUUUGAUUGGAGAGGAGGGAAGGGGAAGAAAACAGCAGCUGUAUGGAAAAAAGGUGAAUGGGACUAAUUGGAUCAUUCAAAAUGUUGGUAUUUGGUUAGGGCUGAAUGGCCUCCUCCUGUGCUGUACAAUUCUGCUAUGCUGGGAUGCGUUGGCAAUAACCUUGCUGCAGAACCUGACACUAUCUGGGCUAAUUGGACAGUCUUAACACUCCUCCAGGCCCACCUCCAAACCACUAUCAGCCUCAGCAGUGUUUGAUGCUGCUUUUGCAAAUUUAUCCAGUGGAGAAGCAUCUUAAACUCCUUUGAAACACUGUCUUCUUCAGCCACCUUCAUAAACCAAACUGCAGUUCUUGCCUCUAUCACACGAUGGUGGUGGUGGUGGAGUUGUAUUUGGAAUGUAGCCAUGAUAUGCUGUAGGCUUGAGUUCCAAAGAUUGAAGACUAACUGGAAUUUCAGUGCUAGGGUCAUCAAUGGUGAGCUGUUCCUGAAGGUUUAAUCACCUGCCUGUCUGUUUGCCUCCCACUGUCCAAUCAAAGAGUCUUUCCUAUCCCCAGAUCCAACCUCAUUGGAAUGACUCAACAGUAUUUAAACCACUGUUUAUAUUCUCCAAAAAUAAAUUGUGCUUUUCCUCCUGGAUAUUGUUUGCAGGAGGGGCAAGCAGAUUUUCCUUAAACUCUCAGAGGCUGUAGGACAAUCCCAGAGGAAUGGCAAUCCUGAAUCAAUAUUGAUUGGAGUUCUGAUCGACUCCUUAGUUUGUCUGAAUCUACGCCUGCUUGCCCCCCCAAUUUUAAUCCUUGUCGAUUACACUGCUAUUUCUCACAGAAGUACUCAUUUCACAUAAUAAAAUCCAUAAUUCAUUUUU